AGCUACAUAGCUCAGGGGAAGAGUGAGUUGACUCGUUCAAUUGCAAAAUUCUAACAUACACUAACAAUAUAACAGGCGCCGGGCUCAUAACCCGGAGGUCGCUGGAUCGAAACCAGUUGUAGCUA